rnacentral:rRNA from 1 species
UACGUAGGUGGCAAGCGUUGUCCGGAUUUAUUGGGUUUAAAGGGUGCGUAGGCGGCCUAUUAAGUCAGUGCUGAAAUAUCCCGGCUUAACCGGGAGGGUGGCAUUGAUACUGAUGGGCUUGAGUAGAGUUGAGGUUGGCGGAAUUGACGGUGUAGCGGUGAAAUGCUUAGAUAUCGUCAAGAACACCUAUUGCGAAGGCAGCUAACUAAGCUCAAACUGACGCUGAGGCACGAAAGUGUGGGGAUCAAACAGG